CUUUUAUGCUUCUCACCCCAUCAGCGAGGAGGUUGGGGGUGCACAAGAAGUUGGGAGGGAACACAGCCAGGACAGGUGAUCCCAAAUCACCAAAGGGAUAUUCCAUACGAUAUGACAUCAUGCUCAGCAUAUAAAGAUGGAUGAAGAAGAAGGAAGAUGUCCUGGUUAGUGCCUGGAGGCAUAAAAAAAACGAAUUCAGGAAAAGAUGUAGAUCAGAAGAAGAAAACAAAUGUCAAGACUGAGAAGCCCCCUUGGCCUUGCAGAACUUGAAAGGGAAGAGCAGGCACAGCAGCAGAGAUUCUCUGUCUGUACAGGUUCUCAGAGUCACUUUUAAUAUUUAUCAACAUUGAAACCUAUUCAGUUUGAGCCAUUUUUGGUUGUGAAUUUUCAGGGGUAUGAUAUCCAUGUUCUG